rnacentral:rRNA from 1 species
UCCAGACUCCUACGGGAGGCAGCAGUGAGGAAUAUUGGUCAAUGGGCGGAAGCCUGAACCAGCCAAGUCGCGUGAGGGACUAAGGCCCUACGGGUCGUAAACCUCUUUUGCCGGGGAUCAGUGCCCAGCUCGCGAGCUGGGAGGGAGCGUACCCGGAGAAAAAGCAUCGGCUAACUCCGUGCCAGCAGCCGCGGUAAUACGGAGGAUGCGAGCGUUAUCCGGUUUUAUUGGGUUUAAAGGGUGCGUAGGCGGCCCUCGGGGCGGGGGGAAAAAUGGGGGCGCUCACCCCCGCCGAGCCGUCGGAACCGGGGGCCUUGAGUACCGGAGAAGUACGCGGAAUGCGUGGUGUAGCGGUGAAAUGCAUAGAUAUCACGCAGAACCCCGAUUGCGAAGGCAGCGUACCGGCCGGUCACUGACGCUGAGGCACGAAAGCGCGGGUAUCGAACAGGAUUAGAUACCCGAGUA